rnacentral:rRNA from 1 species
UCCGGAGGGUGCGAGCGUUAAUCGGAAUUACUGGGCGUAAAGGGUGCGUAGGCGGUCUUUUAAGUCAGUGCUGAAAUAUCCCGGCUUAACCGGGAGGGUGGCAUUGAUACUGAAGGACUUGAGUAAAGUUGAGGUGGGCGGAAUUGACGGUGUAGCGGUGAAAUGCUUAGAUAUCGUCAAGAACACCGAUAGUGUAGACAGCUCACUAAGCUUUAACUGACGCUGAGGCACGAAAGUGUGGGGAUCAAACAGG